rnacentral:lncRNA from 1 species
CUCAAGUUCGGGAGGCGUUACCUGCGGAGGGUUUGAGGCAGGCCCAAGAGCGAGCCCAUGGUCUUCCGACGCGGGGCCAGGGGCGGGCCCCAGGAUCCGGAGCUUCGUGCGGGGCCGAGUCCAGGUUUGGGGCCCGGGAGGCGGGGCCAGUUAGGGCGACUGUCCCUGGGAUCGUCGGGUCAGGCCUUGGGCUAACGUAGGCACUCUCGCAGUUCCUCCGCCUUCAGGAAGGUCUUUUCAGCAGGGGCCUUACGGGUGCAUGCUUCGGUCCUGGAGGCCUUAUCCUAGCCUCCUCUCCAUCAGCGCCACCCGUCUGGGGCCCGAAAGGAGGGAGCUUUCCCUCUGUCCCCCAGCCUUUGGACUGUCACCAAACAAGCCAUUCGUUCAUCAAAUACUUUUUAAGCGCCUACCAUGUGCCUGACAAGGGAGAUGUAACGGUGAGAAAAACUAGGUGUGGUCCAGGCCCUUCAGGGGCUCAGGUGCUCGUGGAAGAAGUGGACAUUGAAGUACUUAUCACACAAAUGAGGAUAAAAGUACGAUAGCGAUAUCUACCACGAAGCUGUUGUUCCCCACCAGAACCAAAUGAGCGCAAGAUCUGACAAAGAAAAAAAAAGGUUCAUCUUUUAUUCCUCCAAACACUUUCAUUUAAAUCAAG